CCUACGAGAGGCAGCAGUGAGGAAUAUUGGUCAAUGGACGCAAGUCUGAACCAGCCAUGCCGCGUGCAGGAAGACGGCUCUAUGAGUUGUAAACUGCUUUUGUACGAGGGUAAACGCAGAUACGCGUAUCUGUCUGAAAGUAUCGUACGAAUAAGGAUCGGCGAACUCGGUGCCAGCAGCCGCGGUAAUACGGAGGAUUAAAGCGUUAUCCGGAUUUAUUGGGUUUAAAGGGUGCGUAGGCGGUCGGAUAAGUUAGAGGUGAAAUCCCGAGGCUCAACUUCGGAAUUGCGUCGGAUACUGUUCGGCUAGAGAGUAGUUGCGGUAGGCGGAAUGUAUGGUGUAGCGGUGAAAUGCUUAGAGAUCAUACAGAACACCGAUUGCGAAGGCAGCUUACCAAGCUACUUCUGACGUUGAGGCACGAAAGCGUGGGGAGCAAACAGGAUUAGAUACCCGUGUAGUC
rnacentral:rRNA from 1 species